AAACCAACAGGGACGUCCUCAGUAGCGGCGAGCGAAGCGGACGAUGCCCAAACCGAACCGCGGUUCCGAGGGGCCGCGGAGUGUGGAGAGGAUGAGCUCGCGAGGGGCGGGACGGGUUCCAAUCCGUCUGGAAGGGCGGAGGCACGGAGGGCGAUUCCCCGUACGUGCUCGGUCCGUCCCCGACGAGCGAACGCAUCGGAGAGUCGGGCCGCUUGAGAGUGCAGCCCGAAUGGGGUGAUAGGUCUCAUCCAAGGCUAAGUACGUGGGAGACGCCGAUAGCGAACAAGUACGGCGACGGAAAGGUGAAAAGAACCUCGAAAGGGGGGUCAAAAGCGCUCGAAAUCGUAGAGGGGGAAGCGGACCUGACCGACGAGACCUCGUCGUCGCUCGCGCUCGACCCACCGCUUCGUCGCGGAGUUCCGGAGGGCGUCGCCCCCGGACGCCGCGGCGCGC
rnacentral:rRNA from 1 species